CCCCGUAAAUAUCGACUCGGAACUCCCAAAUGCACGCAGCCAUUUGGACGUACGCGCACCACGCGCAUUGUUUGUUUGGCCGAGAGACUCGUGGAGAAGAAAAUCGCACAGACAUUGGACCCUUAAGAGGAGAUAUUAUGAUGACCUAUACUCUGCGCAUAUACGUGGCACGGAUUGAGUUUUGGAGAUGACUAGACAAAGCUUCUGGUCCGCCGGAACGUAUAAUAUUAUUCGGAAAGCCGCUGUGACAAUGCGCUUCACACUCAAGCAGAUUCUGGUUGUGAUCGUUUUUGGAACUUUAAUCCGGCUGAAACUACAACGCGUAUAGUGGUGCAGAGCAAAUUGUUGAAUCGAUAUCCAACAAAAAUUCCGAAUUCGGGAUAAUUAUAAUAAUUGGAUUUGCAAGCCAUCCCAUAUGUAUCAAAUGGUGCGCCUCGCACAGUGUUGUAUUUAUUGUCAAUUAUUUUCGAAUCGUAUGCAACAUUUAUGUGUUUUGUAAGUCAUUUAUAAUUUAUUAAUGUAUUGUUUAAAUGUUCAUAUUUAUAAAUGUAUAAUUUAUCGAUUAUUAUACGAUCAUAUUCUGUUUCAAAGUUGGCGCCUUAGUUCGUAAGCAUACCUAUAUAUUGUAUGAAAUUCUUCACGCGGAAAAAAUAAUCAAUUUAUAGUUUACGUGACGUAUGUAAUCGACAAAAUCAUUUAAAAUAAUUUUUUUUCAGCACCAUAUUAUAUUACGAUCGGACAUCAUGGUCCAAACAACUUACUCAAACUUCGUGGUUGUCAAAAAUCUUUGAAAUUAAGUGAAAAUCAGCCUAGUGUAUUAUAGCGUAUUGACAAACGAUGAAACUUCGGUAAUAUUGCAUAAAAAUUUUAAGAAACUAACUACUUAGUUGUCAAAUUUAUUAUGGAGGACGCUCGACUGUAAUAUUAUUUAGACGUGGUAAUAAUAAUAUGUUUUGAGGUCACCUAAUUAUAACCGUUAUAUUUUAAUAUUUUUAACUAUUAUAGGCAGUCAAAUCUGUUAAGAAUAAUAGCCCACCUCAAUUUUUUAUAUUUUCUUUUGAUCUCUCUUCAAAUAUUAUAAAUACCUAACCUCAUAUUAUCCAGACAUGAAACAUGAGUAUAUUUCUUAAAUUAUUUACUAAUCGUAUAAUUUUAACAAUUUUUCCUAUAGGUAUGUUUUAUUAAGUAGCAUAUAUUUUUUAUUUUGUCAGGCCUUCUUGUUACGUCCAGUGGCGAUUUAGGAUAUUUAGGAUUUUGCUGCCCUGGGUACAUGUUUUUUAAUGCAGAUGCAUGAGAUUUACACAGAAUAAUAUUUUAUAUUAGUAAUUUCUAUUUUGCUUCAAUAAUAUUCAUUUUUUGUAAGCAAUAUAAUUGUUCUACCAGAACACUAUACAAUUAUUACAUAAUAUUACAAUAUUAGGUACGCUAUAUUAUUAUGUACUUAUAAACUAUUAGUAACUUUAUAUUCAUGCAGGUAAAGUAGUAAAUUUGUUAUCUUACA